rnacentral:lncRNA from 1 species
UACAUCACUUAAACCCAUGACACAGCUGCAUGGGCCCGCGAGGCACCUGCCCCUUAGGAGCCUUCCAAGACAGUAGCUGGAACCUCGGAGGUGGAACUCCUCCAGAAAGCCCUCUUCUUCAAAACGCUGCCUGUAGCACUGGAGUAUGGCACCCUGAAGUCAUGCAAACAACUCACAUCAUCCUUAUCAAGAGAGAGGGUUCACAACAGCCCAUCUUUCAAGUUUAUCAAGGUCCCUCUGGAUGGUAUCUCUUCCUUCCACUGUAUCAACCGCAUUGCUCAGUGUGGUGUCAUCAGCAAACUUGCUGAGGGUGCACUCAAUCCCAUCAUCUAUGUCAUUGAUAAAGAUGUUAAAGAGUACUGGUCCCAAGACAGACCCCUGAGGGACACCGCUUGUUACUGACAUCGCCUGAACACAGAGCCAUUGACCACAGCCUUCUGUCUGCAACCAUACAACCAAGUCCUUAUUGCAAUGAAUAGUCCACGUUUCAAAUCCAUAUUUCUCCAAUUCAGAGAUAAGGAUGUGAUGUGGGACCAUGUCAAAGGCCUUGCAGAAGUCCAGGUGCCAUCUGCUGAGCUAACAGAAACCAGCUGGUUGCUGGGUUCUACAAAGGGAAGCUUACAGCAAACUGAAAGCAUACUCAUUCUGGUGGUGCCCAAGGCACAGACUCCAUCACCACUGCAAAGAACAAGACCUGAGGAUGUUACAGCCAACACACUGAGGUUUGGUAAGAGCAGAAUUAUUUCUUCCCUUAAGAUUUCUGCAAAGGAACAUGCGAGCAGAACAAGGAGAUAUUCAACAGGUAGCUGAUCGUGAAACAUAAUGUUUGACAGUACAGGAAGUCUCUUUGUACUUGAAUUAUUUUGAAUUGCUAUUGCUCAAUCUUUUUGUAAAUGGUUAAUUGAGAAGAUUUUUUUCAUAUGAAAACAUUUCCCCUCCUUCUUUAUUAUUAUGAACUUUGUACAAAUCAGGCAAAGAUGGACCUUGAAAGAUAAUCUCUCUGAAAGUGCUAGACACAAAAUCCUAGCUGUAUAUGUUAAGAGACUCCAUUCAAGUAAUAUUAAAUAAAUAGAUACCCUGACCUUCUUAAGGUGUCUCAAACUUCACUUUCAGUUGUUUCAUCUCUCAUAUAUCUUGGAAAAAUAUGGGAAUUUUAUUUUCUACAGUACGCUUUUCUUCUCAGGGAGGUGAUCCUGCCCCUCUACUCUGCGCUGGUGAGGCCUCACCUGGAGUAUUGCAUCCAGAUGUGGAGUCCUCAGUACAGGAGAGACAUAGACCUGAGUGUGUCCAGAGGAUGGCAGCAAAAAUGAUCCAAGUGAUGUGACACCUCUCCUACAAGGACAGGCUGUGAGAGCUGGGGCUGCUCCAGGUAGACUUGGUAGCAACCUUUCAGUAUCUAAAGGGGGGCUGAAAGAAAGAAAGGGACAGACUCUUUAGCAGGGUUUUUAGCUUUUGAGAUAGGACAGGCAGAAAUUAUUUCAAACUAAGAGAUUUAGAAGGGAUACAAGAAAAAAUGUUUUUUAUGAUAGGGUUAGUGAAACAGUGAAAUAGGUUGCCCCAAGAUGUGGUGGAGGAGUGGUCCCUAGAGACACUGAAGGUCAGACUGGAUGGGACUCUGAGCAACCUGAUAUAGCUGUAGAUGUCUGUUUGUUGCAAGGAAGUUAGACUAGAUGACCUUUAAAGGUCCCUUCUAACUCAACUCCUACACUUCCACAUUCAAUUUCCUUCUGCUUAGAAAAUUCUGUUGUUCUAUAAGAUGUCUUUGAAAUAGUCCAAGUCACAUCUGUCAAGCACAUUCUAAGUUUUUGUCUUUGAAUAGUAACACCCAGCAGAUGUGCUUUUAAGUAAGGUAUUAACCAACCUCUGCUCUUAGCUUGAAAAAAGCAUCUUCCAGCUCUGACGCUGCACUGUCCAGAUGAAAAAUCUGAUGCAUGCCUCUAUAAUUGAAAGGAAAAAAAAAAAAGCAAUAUGAAGCAACCAAUAUGGUCUUUGUUUAACAAGUCCUCCAGAAAGCAACUUUUGUAAAUAGACCUGACUGAGAAUUCCUCUGAACUGCAGUUUGGAAAUUCUAGCUGCAGGCCACAUCUAUUUUCCUGAUUAGGUUUUCUAAAUCUUUUACUUUGUAACAGCUGUUGACAACAUAAACACUAAUUGCACCUCUGAACAACAGUCGUCUCUUUUGAACUGUUUGGUACAUAAUGAAAAUAGACUGUGGAGAUAAGAAAACAAUCUUCAAAUCUUCUUAUUCUGCUCACAACUCAAUUCGAAAGGUUUAUCCUUUGCUGACAUUAAUGUAUACUUUUGAUAAUAGGUGAAAAUUACUUCACAAUUACUUCAAAAGCAGUAAUUAUGUUUUAGAAACUAUACCUAACUUCUACUUAGAUUUGUUUACUUUUGUCCCCAUUCUCACUAAGGAAAUGAUAUUGUCAGACUACUGGCAGACCUCUAAAAUGAAGUGGGAAGGCUCAUUUCUAUUGCUAUCAACCUCCAUUUCUCUUCUAAGUAUUUCUGCAGCAGCAUAUUUGAGAAGUCCUUGAAGGAAAAAAGGCAGAAUUUAAUGAAUGACAGUAUUUCCAGGACAGCAAUCAAUUUCAACAGCAUGAAAUUCCUUUACUUUUCCAGUCAGAAAAAUAAGUGUACUUUACAGAUCUUUUCAAGUGUAAAUACGGGUCUCUACAAUUAUCUAGUUGAUUAAUAAUUACAUUGGACUAGUUUUUCUAGCCAAGCAGCUCUUGGUCUAACCAAAAUAAUAAUUUUCCCAAUAAACUUUGCCUUACUUACAGCUAACACAUUUUGCAUUUGGCCAGCUAGCCAUUAGUGGCUUCUAGCAAUGCUGAUAAGGUCUUUUAGCUAUUACUCAUCCAUGUGCUUGACACGAACAUACUGACUAUGAUUAAAUGAACUGCGUUUGGUUUCUUUCUUUUUUGCCAUCCAAAAGUCACUCCUCAUAACUAGCUCCUUCUUUCCCUAAGUAUGCUUAUCAAGAUAAAAUAACUUCUUAUCACUUUAUUUUUAGUACUGCUUUUAGUGGCACUGACAAAUGUUACUACAGCUCUCAAACACUCCGAGUUUUGUUUGGGAACACCUAUGUUCUAUUUUCUGAUAAUCUCUUCUUUGUUUAAACUAUUAACAAAUUGUGCUCAUUUCUACAUUACUUACAUCUCAAAACAUUUGUAUUUCUUUCUUACCAUAUUAACUUAUAUGCAGUCUACCUCCUCUUUAUUAUCUGGUACUGUUUAUAAUGUCUCCUAGAAUCACCAAAGUUGGAAAAGACCUCCAAGAUCAUCUAGGCCUUCCUAGUAAGUGAAUCUUUCUUGCUCACGUACCCUUUACUGUAAGCAAACUCAUGCUUCUUGUCUAUGACAAUUAUGUCUGGGUUAGUUUAUCACAAAUAGGUGUAUCCCUCUGGCAAAACAGUUGUUACAGUGACUGGAGUUGGAGGAUCAAAAAACGCAAUCUCAGCUCAGGGGCAUGUGGACAGAGUUGCAUCACAUGUAUACAUGACGUUAGAAGAGUCAGAUCUGUGGUUCUGGGAGCAUUCUAGGCACUUCUCUUUGGAUUUCCUGUCUGAGUGUGGUGCUACAUAAUCUUAUCCAACACAUUGUGUUAGAAGGCUAACUAAUGGGCUUUUUAAGGCAGGAGGUUGUUUUUCCCGUCUGAGCUAGCAGUUGGAUCUGGAAUACCCUAUGCGAUAUUCGUUGCUUGCUUUGGUUGAUUCCAUGAUCAAAGUCUUCAAAUAAGAGGAGCUAUACUAUUUUUAUUAGACGUUUGUAAAAAGAAUUGCUAAUCCAGUCCUUGGUAGAAAAUAGGUUUAAAAUUCUGGCUGACUUCAUCAAAGGAACAACUUAAAUGGCUUUGCCAGGUCAGACAAUUACACCCACUGUGUUUGGUUUUGUGAAGUCACUUUCAGUCAUGCCCGUUGAUCGUGCAAGGAACUGCCAGGGCAGAAGUGCAGCCAUGCUCUGGUGACACAGAGCAAGUUCUUGUUGUUGCAGGCAGCUGGGAGUCCUCUAGAAGCCCAGCUAGGAUAUCCAGCCAUGGCUUCAGCUGCCUCAUAGUCAGCCCCUGCAUGCGGCAACUGUGUGGUGAUGAUGUAAAACCACGAGAAUAUCUCAACUUGGUCAGAAGAGUAGAUUUCACCUGUAUUGCACUACCUCAAUCAAAGCAAGAGGUGGGUUGAAAACUGUGAUGGUACAAGAAGGUGUAUAGUGUGAGAAUGAUGGAAAAAAGUGAACAUAACAUCUGUUAUGCAGAGUAGCAAAUAUAAUCAUACUGCAAAGUAUCCUCUUUGUUCCUGUCCUUUGGAUAGAAGUAGAGACCGGUUAUUGAAUGGCUCACUGGGCUGUUGUGCUUUCAAUCACCUUUGGGGUUGCAGAAUAUCAUUUUAGCUCCUCCUGCUGAAAUUUUUAUAAAUAGGCAUCUUAUGUUUUUCACUUUCAAUGGAAUUCUUCUGAAUAUUCAGAAAUGAAUCUGCACAUACACAAGAGAAGCAAACAAGCGUGAGUUAACUGAAGAUGAGCCAGCAUAUGUCUUGUUAAGGUAAAAUUCAUGCGCUUUAAAUCAUCACAGCUGCAUUAAACAUAACACCAUCCUCUUGAUGUGGAGAUUUGUUUUGAAACAUUUGCAGUUAUUCAUUAGAGUAAAUAAGCAGGUGAAAUAUUAAUAAAUACUGUGAUAGAUUUAUGGAUGAAAUUCCAGAGAAGAAUAUAUAUACAAGGGCUAUUACGUAGGUUGGACACAGCUGUCUCUUCUGCUACAGCCAUAAUAUAUUAUUAAUACUUUAACUGGCUUAAGUAGCCACAGAAACUGUCAUUUUAGGUUCAGAUAAAAUCAGUAACCCCACAGCACUGUUACAAAAACAUGUAUACAAAUUAAUAACACUGAUGUUGUUUGUAAUAGUAGCAUGUAUGUUAGUGUAAGUGUGAGCAAAGGGAGAAACUGAAGUCAAUAAAAUGCACGUCAGUGCUUCUUCUGAAUUCUUCCACUGAGUAUAUAUCAUUACCUCAUCCAUCAGUUGACCGGAGGCCUGGCUUUCGCCAUCACACGGCAGCAAUAAGCAUAAAGCCAGAAGCAAAUAAACAAAGGUUUCCCAAUACCUUCAGCUCAAAGCAUGCCACAGACACCAUCGCACCCACAUAUACCCCACCACACACGCACACGUACACAUGCACUGCUUUCUGAGUCAUUUUUGCCUCUUCUUUCACCUCACGCACUAUUCUCAAAGGACUGUGUAACUGAGAACACAGAAACUGUGUUAGCGUGCAUUCAUGCCCAUAUCCUCCACUGUAAGUUAGGGAUCAUAACUGAAAGAAUGAUAAUACCUGAGAUAUUAAAUGCACCUAUAAUGGCUUUUACAUCUUUUCAUUCUGUUUUAUGUAUGUGUGUGUGUGUGCCUGUGCGUGUCUGUAUGAGUGGGUUUGCAAUGAUUGUCUCUGUUAGUAACCCACCGAAGGACAACUCCAAACUAAAGAAAAGGGUUUUGCGCCCUCUCUUCUGUAGCCACCCUCAUUCAAAAUGAUGGAGAUGCAAGUGAUGAUGAUGGCAAAGGAAAUUCUACUGUCUGAGGUAAGAUUUCCAAUCAAUGAGAGAAUAAGCGAUGUCACAAAAGCACCCAAUGCCAGCGUCUGAUCACAGCCGUUCCAAGUCUCAGCACAUCUACUUUUUUUCCCCACUUUCCCUUGGAAGAGAUUUUGCGUAAGGUCUGUGAGUAGGUUCAUAAAGUGGGCUUCUAAAGCAAUCUGUUUCACUGCCUUACACAGAAUUUGUCCCCUGCCUUCAGCCUCCUCUCUCCUUUCUUUUAGAGCACCUUUUCUCUCAAAAAUGGCUGUAUAUGAAAUAGAUGUGAGAGCGUCCAUCCUUCUGGCUUCGUGUUAGCAAGCUUCUCUACUUUCUUUGAGCCUUCCAGUGCACGUUCUUUCAGAGUUUUGUAUGAUGACCACGUAGUGUCACUACGCUCUCCUGAUGUUCCCAUCACAUUUCUAGAGAUCCAUCAGAUCUCACAUGUUGGGAAAAGACUGUUACUUUGCUCCAGCUAAGUACUUUUUCCAAAAUAUAUUGAAAACAAAGAGGAGAGAGCUCUUUUUUGGCCAGUGACCCCGCAAGCCAAAAGAGGCAGGUUGGCUCAGUCUGAUGUCAGCAACAAAAUGCCCAGCAUCCCGGUCCCGUGUGUUGUGUGGCUUUAAAGUACAUAAGUAUAUUAAGGAUAUUAUUAAAUUCUACCCAAGAUUUCUCAGAUAGUUAAUUUUCUCAAUUAUUUCUACAUAAAUCCCACUCUUCCUAGGUGGAUGAAAACAUAAUCAUAAACUGUAUGUGAUGAACAAUUUAGUGUAUUACUACAGGCAGUAGCAGGACUUUUAAUGCAGAUUUAAUAGCUUUAGCAUCAUGCCUGUCAAGGAAAGCACAUACACAUCAUGGAAGAUAUACCUACAUGUAAGGAAUACAUCACAUACUGUAGAAAAGAAGAAUAAGAGAGAAUAAAUUGAACUAAGGGAAAUAAAGAUGUGAUUUUCCCAUGUCUAGAAGGGCAGCAUGGGCUCUCUAAAUGCUGUGAGAUAGAGUAGGGACAGGAUGAAAAUUGAACAUUGGCCUGUACGAUGGCAAAGGCAAGCUGGGAAUUAGUAUUCUCAGCUAGCGUGUUUGUAGUUUGCUCCCUCUUGAUGUGUGGCUUGGGCUGAGGAAGGGGCUGGGAUCUGGGCCUCAGGUGAGAAGAGCAGCCCCUCAGCUAGCUGUGAGAGCAGAGAAGCUCAUGGAGCAGGAGCUCAGGCUGGAGAUGUCUCUUAUUUGACCUGGGCCUGUUUGGGCUCCCACUUUUCUGAGGACGGUGGUUGAGUCUUGGUGUCAAUCUCAGCUGUAAAUUUGGUAAAGGGUGAUGAGCUAUGCUUCUGCAUGAUCCCAUGCAGUGAACACAGCAGGAUGUAGUAUGGGAGCUCCAGACUGUCUCUGUCUCUUUUUCCUUGGUGCAGUAAUAGAUGAGGACAGUGGUGCCAGGCUGUGCAGGAUACCGAGCUCUGAGCUCAGGUGAGCUCAUCAAAGGACAGUAGAGCUCAAGCAUGGCUGUGUGCCUCAGCUUUCCUACUGACUUUGGGGAUCUUCUAGCAAUCAGGCAGGAACAAAGGAUCCAUGAACACCAGCCCUCUGCUCAGCUUCAGGGAUGUAGUCUGGAGGAG